CAAAAUUACCAAAUUACCCCCAGUUUGAUCCCUUUGCUCUCAUACCAGCAGUAAAAGAAACCACAUCCAUUCCCUCAGCUAGGGCAUUGUUAGAUGAGAAGAAUGAGGUGAUUUGGCUGAAUCCAUCGCUGAAGAAGAACAGCAACGACUGUUGUCCACAUCCGAAGCCGAUCAGAGUGCAAAUUGACGGCUACACUACAACCACGCGUCCUCGCCACCGCCGAUCGUGAGACAUUUACACAGUCACAAAACAAACCAUGGCUUCUUUUACGUCAACCGCAACUUCCACUACAUGGCCACAUCAGAUGUGUGCAUGUGGCUAUGGUCAAUGUGUUGUGAAGAUAUCGAGAUCAAAUAAAAAUCCAGGACGUUCGCACUUUGCUUGUUCCUGCCCUAUGGCGUCGAAUGCAUGGUGGGAUAAGAUGGAAUCGGUAAGUAAAUUUUUAAUUCCGCAUGUUUUAAUUGUUUCAUAUUGUUUUUUUACUUCGCCAUUUGUUUUUGUUGGUAGUUCGUUGCCCUCAUAUUGCCUAUAGUAACACCUCUUUUUACUUUUUUCAUUUUUUCAAACAAACAAGGUGUAUGCAAAGGUUAGGACAGAAACUCUGGAUCACCGCAAGUUGAUGAAGACAGUCUUCACAGGGGCUGCUGCUAUGAGUAAAAAUCAUUGGACCCCCGGAGAGAAAUGUAAUGAACUUGCAGCUGUUUCAUCAAAUUCUAUUGAAAGUAUAGGAUUGCAACCAUUCGUUGAUCCGAUCCCCGCAUGUGCAGCCAACGUGGAGGUAGAUUUGUCAGUGGGACCAGUUGAUACUAGGGAAAAAAGGAAACGGACUCCAUUAACAAGUUAUGAAAAGUCGAAGAAGGUAACAAGUGGUGUGUCAAUUAUAGCUGAAAGCAUGAAUAAUUUGACAAACGUGGUUCAGAGCCAAAAUCAGCAAGUCAUAGUCAGGCACCUCACAGGUAAUGAAUCACUGUUUACAAUUUCUAAGUGCAUGCAGCGGCUCAAAUCCAUUCCUUUCCUUCUCGGUGCCGUUAUUCCACUUUGCAUCAACACUGAUGGACAACGCAGAUUACUAGGAGGUAAUGAUAUGCCAGCCCGAUGAUGACCACAUUAUAGGAUGGCUGACACAGAAACAGAUGCAAUAAAGUGUUGUUGCGCCAUUUGCGAACUUGUUCGGUGCACGACGGGUUUGAUAGCUGUUGACGUAAGCGUUGGGUUGAGUUUCAAAGUAUUGAACCAAUUAGUGGAUGUGUGCUCGUAACAAACACAAAACAUGUAGUUUUUUCUUUAUUAGAAUGGUUGUGUGUCUUGUUUUACUAUUUUUUUAUUUGUUCUUUUUAGCUAUGUUUUAUCGCGAACAUGAACUGUGUGUGGUUUUUAUUAUGGAACUUUGCAGACAACGGCGGGCUGUCGUAUGAUGCUUGUUUUAUUUAUUUAUUUUUUUUUCUAACUUUGUCUAUCGUAAUUUUCAUUGUGUUGGUAAUGCAAGCGAAAAAUUCAUGGUUUAUAUUAGCAAGUAGCAACAGCUUCAUUGUUGAUCUAUUAUUAAUACAGCUAAUUACAUGUAAUUAUACAUUACAAUUUUGGUUCAACAUGGUCACAAAUAAAAGCGGCUGUGAUGGUCACAAAAUGUCUUGCCAAUUGUUAUUACAUUAUCCCAGUCCAUCAUAGGUCAACUGAUUUGAAUAGUUCCUAAUGUUGUAGGUGUCACUGAAUUUGACGUGAUGAACAACGGGAAAUGUAGCAACAAUGACGGUCUACUGGAAAUGCUGAACGAAAUGGCCAUACAGCUUCAACAACAAAAUAACUGGACAUUCCUCGAAGCAUGCCGGUAUGUGCAAGAGUAUUAUGAAAAGCACAUGUGUAAAACACCAUGUCGCAUUUCUAUUUUGAUUGGACAUGCAUGGAUAACCAAACUGUAUGUGGGCCAUGUUGGUCAGUUUGAGAAAAAAGUAUGCAUACUGAAUGAAGUUUUUGCGUCGUUGUGUAAUACGUUAGUCAAUGAUUUUGGGUUACAAGUACCCCAAUGUGAACAUGGCUUAGCCGUGCAAGAAAGCAUUGUAAUGUUUAUCCACGUGUUGAGAGGGUUUCAGAAUCGAGAAAUCCAAGAACGGUUUCAAUAUUCGGGGAG